UUUGGUUCAUCUAAAGAUAUCCUUGUUUGUUCAUUCACGAUCCUCGUCGCAUCGUUAUCUUCGGUUUGUCGGACAGCUAUCUCCUCCUCUGAUGAAUCUGAAGACCCUGCCCCCAUCAUUGUCUUCACCAAAUUCUUAUGAUCGAUUGAGUACUCCUACAGAGAAGACGUAGAGAAGAUGAAGACAUUUUCCUAUGGUUGAGAAUAAAAAGAGGUAUAGUGGACUCCUAAAAAAGAAAAAACAAAAAAGACGUAUGCUGGCAGAAUUGUAAAUGAGAUUGUGAUUCCUCUUAUUAAUGAUUUGUAAUUAGCAUUAAUUAAGGUUAAUUUUGGUAAAAAAAUUAUAUUAUUAAUUUAUGUGCAAAA